UAAAUUUGGACGUAGACUUUUUGUCAGCAUUGCUAUCGGAAUAGACUGUGCAUCCCUUGUCGAUCUCUUUUUAUUUUCAUAUGAAUAAGAGUUUCUUCAGACGCUGACUUGUCAAAAACAAGAUCAAAGAAGCCAGCUCAUCUAAUUUAACAAUAUAUAUUGAUGAUGUUCUUUCCAUUAAAAUAUAUGCCACAUAACUAGAAAUUAAAGAAAACAAC
rnacentral:lncRNA from 1 species